rnacentral:misc_RNA from 1 species
CUGAGUUAUCACAACUCCAAACCCAUGUGAACCAUACCAUUUGUUGCCUCGGCGGGGCUGUACCUACCCGGUACCUACCCUGUAGCCAGCCCCGCCGGCGGACUUUCAAACUCUUGUUUUCUAUGUGGCAAUUCUGAGUACACUAUUGAAAUAAGUCA